AGAACGAACGCUGGCGGCAGGCCUAACACAUGCAAGUCGAGCGCUGUAGCAAUACAGAGCGGCGCACGGGAGAGUAAUACGUGGGAACCUACCCUUUGGUUCGGAAUAACGUCGGGAAACUGACGCUAAUACCGAAUAAGCCCUUCGGGGGAAAGAUUUAUUGCCGAAGGAUGGGCCCAUGUUGGAUUAGCUAGUUGGUGAGGUAACGGCUCACCAAGGCUACGAUCCAUAGCUGGUCUGAGAGGAUGAUCAGCCUCACUGGGACUGAGACACGGCCCAGACUCCUACGGGAGGCAGCAGUGGGGAAUAUUGGACAAUGGGGGCAACCCUGAUCCAGCCAUGCCGCGUGAGUGAUGAAGGCCUUCGGGUUGUAAAGCUCUUUUGGCGGGACGAUGAUGACGGUACCCGCAGAAUAAGCCCCGGCUAACUUCGCGCCAGCAGCCGC
rnacentral:rRNA from 1 species